UCUAAUUUUUCUUAUUUUCAUUUGAAAAUUAAUCUAAAGUUUUAGUUUGGUGCGAUUUGUUUUGAUUUUGUGCGUUGAUGGUGUGGUUGUGGGUGUUUGGUGCGAUUGCUCUGAUUUUGUGCGCCAAUGGUGGAAGGCUGGAAGCGUUGCUGUAAUGGUGGCAGGAGAGGAAAUGGUGUUCGUGGUUGUAUGAGCUGUGCUGGAGGAACCACGCAUGGGCUUUAACAUUGAAGGUUUUCUUCUUCUUAAAUCAGAUUUUACUGAAACGUUUUGAACUUGGUUGUACGUUUCUUGUCUUAUGAAGGGUUCUAUUUGUUAGUGAAGGUUUCUAUGCAUAUUAUUGUAUUUAUAAUGAUAAAUUAUAUAGAGCAUCAUACUUGCCUUGUUGUUUCUAGUCUUUAUAUAUGAACCUUGAUCUGUGUCAGAUGGUUGAAUUUGGGGUAGAAAAAAAACUAUUUUUUUGAUAUGUAGCAUUAGUUUCGGCUCUUA